AUGCAAGUCGAACGGGAGCAGCAAUGCUCCAGUGGCGCAAGGGUGAGGAACACGUGAACAACCUGCCUUCGAGUUGGGGAUAGCUUCUGGAAACGGGAGAUAAUACCGAAUAACAUCACCGGACCGCAUGGUCUGAUGAUCAAAGCAGCAAUGCGCUUGAAGAGGGGUUCGCGUCCCAUUAGCUAGUUGGUGAGGUAACGGCCCACCAAGGCGAUGAUGGGUAGCUGGUCUGAGAGGACGAUCAGCCACAUUGGGACUGAGAUACUGCCCAGACUCCUACGGGAGGCUGCAGUCGAGAAUUUUGGGCAAUGGACGAAAGUCUGAACCCCAGCAAUGCCGCGUGCGGGAUGAAGGUCUUCGGAUUGUAAACCGCUGUCAAGAGGGACGAAAUUUGACGGUACCUCUGGAGGAAGCCACGGCUAACUACGUGCCAGCCGCUGC
rnacentral:rRNA from 1 species